rnacentral:rRNA from 1 species
CAUCUUUAGUUGCCAGCAGGUUAAGCUGGGCACUCUAGAGAAACUGCCCGUGAUAAUCGGGAGGAAGGUGUGGAUGACGUCGGAUCCUCAUGGCCCUUACGGGUUGGGCUACACACGUGCUACAAUGGCAGUGACAAUGGGUUAAUCCCAAAAAGCUGUCUCAGUUCGGAUUGGGGUCUGCAACUCGACCCCAUGAAGUCGGAAUCGCUAGUAAUCGCGUAACAGCAUGACGCGGUGAAUACGUUC